GAUGAAUAACGCAGCGAAAUGCGAUAAGUAAUGUGAAUUGCAGAAUUCAGUGAAUCAUCGAAUCUUUGAACGCACAUUGCGCCCGCCAGCAUUCUGGCGGGCAUGCCUGUUCGAGCGUCAUUUCAACCCUCGAGCCCCCCCGGGGGCCUCGGUGUUGGGGGACGGCACACCAGCCGCCCCCGAAAUGCAGUGGCGACCCCGCCGCAGCCUCCCCUGCGUAGUAGCACACACCUCGCACCGGAGCGCGGAGGCGGUCACGCCGUAAAACGCCCAACUUUCUUAGAGUUGACCUCGGAUCAGGUAGGAAUACCCGCUGAACUUAAGCAUAUCAAUAAGCGGAGGA
rnacentral:misc_RNA from 1 species